rnacentral:rRNA from 1 species
AAGUCGUAACAAGGUUUCCGUAGGUGAACCUGCGGAAGGAUCAUUACCGAGAUAUUUUUUAUUCGUAAGAAUGAAAAUCUCCCACCCUUUUGUGUUACCAAAUUUUAUACUUUGGUGAAGCGUUUAUUUGGUGUGAAUACUAGUAAUUCAUUCCAAAUAGCCAUCGACUUUUAAACGAGUGGAUGUGUCUUUGCCAAAGGAACAAAUAACUCUUUUUUUUAUUAACAAUUGUCUGAGUUUAUAUUUUAAAUAAACAAAACUUUCAACAACGGAUCUCUUGGUUCUGGCAUCGAUGAAGAACGCAGCGAAAUGCGAUAAGUAAUGUGAAUUGCAGAAUUCAGCGAAUCAUCGAAUUUUUGAACGCACAUUGCGCCUCAGAGUAUUCUUUGAGGCAUACCUGUUCGAGCGUCGUUUAGACCAUAAGGCUUUGCCUUUCGUUGAUUUUUUGGGCUGGUUUAACAGUCCAAGAAUCUAAACAUGUUGGCGUCGUAGUUUGACCAAAAGACACACACAAGUGUUAAUUAAGCCAAGCUAUUGAUAAGCCUAACCCCCUCAGAAUCUUUAUAAACUUAGUUUGUAUCGUAGGUUCGACCUCGGAUCAGGUAAGACUACCCGCUGAACUUAAGCAUAUCAAUAAGCGGAGGAAAAGAAACCAACAGGGAUUGCCCUAGUAACGGCGAGUGAAGCGGCAAAAGCUCAAAUUUGAAAUCUGGUCCUAGACCCGAGUUGUAAUUUGUAGAGGAAUGUUCGGCGACGCCUAGGUCUGAGUCUUCUGGAAGGAAGCGCCUUUGAGGGUGAGAGCCCCGUAGGACUGAUGGCUGAACCAUGUGUACAUCCUUCGACGAGUCGAGUUGUUUGGGAAUGCAGCUCAAAACGGGUGGUAAAUUCCAUCUAAAGCUAAAUAUUGGCCAGAGACCGAUAGCGCACAAGUAGAGUGAUCGAAAGAUGAAAAGCACUUUGGAAAGAGAGUGAAACAGUACGUGAAAUUGUUGAAAGGGAAGCGCUUGCAACCAGACUUGGGUUUGACGUUCAGCGGUUCGCGUGGACCGUGUAUUUCGUUAUUUACUAGCCAGCAUCAGUUUUCGGGGUUGGAUAAAAGUUUGAGGAACGUAGCUUUGCUUCGGUAGAGUGUUAUAGCCUCUUGCACAAUACAGCCACUGGAGACUGAGGAACGCCUUUAUUGUAGGAUGCUGGCAUAAUGGUUGCAAGCGGCC